rnacentral:rRNA from 1 species
CGCACGGGUGAGUAACACGUGAAUUAUCUACCUCCGAGUGGGGAAUAACUGAGAGAAAUCUUAGCUAAUACCGCAUAACACUUACGAGUCAAAGCAGCAAUGCGCUUGGAGAGGAGUUCGCGGCCGAUUAGUUAGUUGGCGGGGUAAUGGCCCACCAGGACGAUGAUCGGUAUCCGGCCUGAGAGGGCGCACGGACACACUGGAACUGAAACACGGUCCAG